rnacentral:rRNA from 1 species
CCUACGGGGUGCAGCAGCCGGGAAUCAUCUGCAAUACGCGCAAGCGUGACAGUUUGAACUGGAGUGCUUUCCAAAUGGAAAGCUUUUGUGAAAUGUAAAAAGUUUUACGAAUAAGGACUGGGUAAGACGAGUGCCAGCCGCCGCGGUAAUACUCGCGGUCCAAGUCGCAGCCAUUUUUAUUGGGUCUAAAACAUCCGUAGCUUGCUUUGCAAGUUCUCUGUGAAAUCCCGUUUCUCAAGGGCGGGGCGAGCAAAGAAUACUACAAUAGCUAGAGACUGGAAGACGUAAGAAGUAUGUUCGAAGUAGCGGUAAAAUGUGUUAAUCUCGGACAGACUAACAAGAGCGAAGGCAUCUUACGAGGACAGUUCUGACAGUAAGGGAUGAAGGCCAGGGUCGCGAAAGGGAUUAGAUACCCCCGUAGUCC